AUGGAGAAUAGGAAAGUGGGAGUACACAUCUUGUUCCUAACCUGUCUAGGAGUGGAUACCAAUUGUCAAUUUGUAUGCAGCUGUCAUGGUGGAGGAGGAGCUACUUGCAAUAUUUCCUAUUAUAUACAAUGGAAUUUUUUAUGGUUGUUAAGAGUUCCCAAAGCCCAGGAAAGCUAAUUCAACAAGUGCUCUUCAUAAAUAUAAACAAAUGCUCAGAA
rnacentral:lncRNA from 1 species